GGAGAUAAAAAAUAAAAAAAGAGAGGAAGAAGAGAGGAGAGCAGCCGAAGGAGAUACAAUGGAGAGAUGAAUGAGACGAAAAGGGAGAGGGAAAUUGCAGGGAGAAUUUGGAGGACCGGAGGAGUUGAGUGAGUUGUGGCUGAGGGAGAGGAAAUGAACGCAAGAGUAAGGGAAUUUAGGGUUCUGACUCGGUAGGGUAAAGAAAGAUCAAAUAUAUCUGUAUUUUCUCAUUUUUUUGAAAUUGGUUGAAUGAGGUGAUCGGGAGUGAGGGAGAACUGGUGCAGAUGAGGUGAUUAAGACGAGUGUGGAUGUAGAAACCUUUAUUGGGAUGAGGUUUAGUGUAGAUCGAGUAGAAGCCAUCGGGUGAGAGUAUAGGUUGGGCAAAAGUGGUAGAGUCUAGGGUCAAGUCCUAGGAUCCGAGUAAAAGAGGCAGAGUGAGUGUUCUGGGGGGGUGGGGGGGGGGGAAGUCAUAACGCGAUUGGUGUGUGUGUGGCCAUUACGGGCCACGUGUGACUGUGUGAGUGAACGGCUCAGGUUGGCGUCUGGUGUGUGCGUGUGUGGCAGACCCUGACCGAGGAUUGUAAGUAUUGAGUUAUUGAAUGUAGGUGGUGUGGUGUGUGUGUGUGGCUCCGAAAGAGUUGUAAUGUGGUCGGUGUACAUAUGUGACCAUUACAGGCCGAGUGUGACGGUGUAUGUGAGCAUUUCAGUGUGGCAUCUGGUAUGUGUGUGGGUGACAGAGACUGCCCGAGCAUGGUAAGGACUGAGUAGGUGAGUUUAUGUGAUAUGGAGUGUGUGUGAGCGUGUGUGAGUGUGUGUGGCCCUAUGGCUGUGGUGGCAGGUUGGGUGUUGAAUAAGUAAGGGCUGACCGAGAGUUGUGUAGGAGGAAGUUGUGCUGUAAGGUUCCUCGUGUGUAAGGGUGGCCUAUACACGACAUUGGUGGUUGUUGAGAUGGAGGUGAAAUAGGUGUGUAUGGUCUGUUUAGGUCGGGCAGUUGUCGGUGUUGGUAUGGGCGAGGACGUGUAGGUGGGGUCUUUACAGGUUGUUGCCUGGGGUGAUUAAGGGAUAAUUGACUGAGUGAUAUGUGUGAGUGGCCUCUCCAAGCCAGAAGAGUAGAAGGGGUGGAUAUGUGGUCGGUAAGGACUGAUUGGUCUGAUACUGAGGUUGAGUGGUGGACAUAGGCGAACUGUGAAUGUGUUUGGUUUUUCUUUUGGGGCUACGGGUGUGGAGUGUAGGAGUAUUUCGAUAUUAUUAGGAGUAACCAGUAGGUGUAAUUGAGUGGCUAUAGGUAACGAAGUUUGGGGGAAGUGGCCUUCUUAUGGUAGAGAUGGGAGAGUAGAUAAGUGGGAGUGAGGGUCUAAGUGAGGAGUGUUGGGGUGGGGAAUUUCUUGGUUUCCAUAUUAUAGUCUUAAGUUCUAUAUUUUCUUACU
rnacentral:lncRNA from 1 species